GCUGUGCUUGGAGUAUCCAUCGCUUUGAUUGCAGAAGAAACCCAACAUCAGAUAUUAAACUUGCUAAAUAAAGGCAUCAACAUAAAAUUGGGCAGAAAUAAUGAUCCUUGGAAUCAUCAAUUUAUCAGUAGAAAUAAUGAUCCUUAGUUUAUUUUUCAAAUAAUUGACAUUUAAAUCAUUCUACCAAUUAUAUCAGCAGCUGAAGAAUAUUCACUACUAGAUGUUCUCUAUCUACAUCCCUACUACAUUACCAACUAUUUGCCCCUUGUGACGAUAUUAUCAAUUAAUUCUCCUCCAGAACCCUAAUCCUUCAGGCUCUACAAACAGAAAGUAGAUCAAUUUAAACUGUUCAGUUAUCCAAUUUCCAAAUCAUACGCUUUCUUAAGUAUAAAGUUCAAAAAAAUUUGGUAGGUACACCAUGAAAAGUCAUCAUUAUUCAGAAUACAUAUUUACCAAAGAAAAUUUCACAAGCAAAUCCAUCUUUUGAUUUUUGAUAACUAGAAUACUAGAUAGAAGUUUUUCUUCUAUUUGGCAGCAGGAAAGUAUGAACAAGUAAUCCAGAUGCACACCUGAGCUGGCAUUGGUGGCAGUAG
rnacentral:misc_RNA from 1 species